rnacentral:rRNA from 1 species
AGUCGUGCGAGAAAGUAUCUUCGGAUAUGAGUAGAGCGGCGGACGGGUGAGUAACGCGUAGGAAUCUACCUAGUAGAAGGGGAUAGCCCGGGGAAACUCGGAUUAAUACCGUAUACCUCCUUCGGGAGAAAGAAGGCCUCUCUUUGAUGCUUUCGCUAUUAGAUGAGCCUGCGUAAGAUUAGCUUGUUGGUGAGGUAAAGGCUCACCAAGGCGACGAUCUUUAGCUGGUCUGAGAGGACGAUCAGCCACAUUGGGACUGAGACACGGCCCAGACUCCUACGGGAGGCAGCAGUGGGGAAUAUUGGACAAUGGGCGCAAGCCUGAUCCAGCCAUACCGCGUGUGUGAAGAAGGCCUUCGGGUUGUAAAGCACUUUAAGCAGGGAGAAAAAGUUAUAAGUUAAUACCUUAUAGCCGUGAUGUUACCUGCAGAAUAAGCACCGGCUAAUUCCGUGCCAGCAGCCGCGGUAAUACGGAAGGUGCAAGCGUUAAUCGGAAUUACUGGGCGUAAAGCGCGCGUAGGUGGUUUGUUAAGUUGGAUGUGAAAGCCCUGGGCUCAACCUAGGAACUGCAUCCAAAACUAACUCACUAGAGUACGAUAGAGGGAGGUAGAAUUCAUAGUGUAGCGGUGGAAUGCGUAGAUAUUAUGAAGAAUACCAGUGGCGAAGGCGGCCUCCUGGAUCUGUACUGACACUGAGGUGCGAAAGCGUGGGUAGCGAACAGGAUUAGAUACCCUGGUAGAAGGGC